CCCUUACAUGUUCUGGGCUGCACACGUGCUACACUGGCAGGUUCAGCGAGCUUCAUGCCCUGAUCUGAAAGGAAUGGGAAAUCUUUUCAAAACCUGCCGUGCUUGGGAUAGAUGUUUGCAAUUAUUCAUCUUCAACGAGGAUUGCCUUGUAAGCGCACGUCAUCAGCGUGCAUUGAAUACGACCCUGUAUUCUGUACACACCGCCCGUCGCUCCUACCGAUUGAAGUUUUCGGUGAGUUGACAGGAGGAUUUUUUUGAAACUGGUUCGCCAGUGGAUUUUAGAUCCAAAUGCCAACGAAUCGAUGGCUUUAGAGGAAGGAGAAGUCGUAACA
rnacentral:rRNA from 1 species